GAAGCCACUUUGUUUGUGUGCUUUACUCCAGGCCAGGUUUGAUAAGGCUGCUGUGAGGCUGUGCUGACUCACUAUGAGCUAAGGUAAAAACAGGCACUGACAUGGUACUGUAAACACACACCACUCAACAACAGGGACUGUGGAGUAAAAUCCAUGUUUUGGGGGUUCCCCCCCACCACCUUAAACUUCACCUAUCACCACAGCAAUCACAAAACCCUCCUGAGCACUAUGAGCUUUAACACAGCUGAGCACUCCAAAGGAUUUCAUGGAAGUUAUUUGGUGAAGAAGUGACAGAAGGCAACACCAGGUACUCCAGAGAUCACCUUUUAGUGUUUUUCUAACACAACAGGACAGCAAUGAGCACCAAAACUGUGACCAGUGUGCAACACCUCUGCAUAAGCAAGGGUCAUGCAUUACAUUAUUCACAGGGGUAAUCCUAUAGAAUUAAGCCACAAGUACUCUCUCAGAAGAUGGAAUUUUGAAGCAGAUGGCCAGGACAGGAUCUGUGUGCUGCUUGUUCCUGGAAACAAGAGGUGCCACAUGGUGCUCUGGGAUAGAAGUUUUUAACCAUGGAAGAUACAAAACCAGGAAUGUCUUAGACAAGACUGGGGGGAAGGAUCUUAGUGUGCCAUCAUCUGUAAGUGGGCACCAGUGAGAAACCACCAGUAGCUCAGGAGAAGGCCAAGAAGCCAAGUUUUAGGUAGGUGGGAUGCAGGACACCACUGUUCCUCCCAGGUUACAGCCAAGAACCACCUGCUCACAGGGUGAGCAAUUGCUCCCCUGUCCCCAGCAGCUGUAUUUGGAUCCCCUCCCAAAUAUAUCCCCAGAGGACCACAACCUUUUGCUGUCACACAGACGUGCUGGAGCCUGGCAACAAGGACAGGCACUGUGACAUGGGCAUGGAGAAGCAGUGCCAUCCACAGGGAGGACACCAAGAGGAUACAUGUGCCCCUCUGAAGCCAAUUCUUUCCAAGUUCUUCCCUCUACACCAGCUGGGUGCCCCACCACUCUCAAAAACUGCCCAAAACUGAAGGCAACACCACUGGAAAUGCCAAAAUGCAUCACAACUACCCAAGACACUUGCACAAGGCUGACUCACUUCUUCCAAGGGACUCAGAUCCUGUUGAAAGUUAUCUACAUAAGGCUUUGGAUCUGAAAAGACUCCCAACAUCUGGAAAAAGUUCUCAGUCUAAAAACAAGGAAAAGAUUUGAUGCCAGCAGUUGUAUUUGAGUGUUGUGUGGUUCAAACACUCACCACAGUGAGCUCCUCCAAAUACCAGCAGUUAUGACUCUGUAUUGCCACACCACACAAACAAGAGCAUCUGCAGUUAUAGGGGCACUUCAAAUUCUGAAAAGCCACCGACUUGUGAAGUACAAACUCACAUGUGAAACUCGGCUACUGAGUUUGCUUCCCACAGCAGUUUCCAGAGCAUUUACUUACACAGUGUUUUCAUCACAGCUCAAGAUCAAAAGCUAAAAGCAAGUAAGGAAUCCUAUAAAGGCCGAACUCAGUGUUCCCAAUGUUCCUAACCCCAGUCACCUGGGAUGGUGAAGAUACUGCAAUAUCAUCAGCAUUUCCCUUCACAAAUUAUUCUUCUUUUUUCUCCAGCUGACUCCCUUGUCACCUUGGAGCCUCCUGCACCAACAUCCCACACAAACCCUUCAGCCCUCUCCCAAACAUCAGGGAUCUGUAUUCCAGGCAGAGCUCAAAUGCACCAUUUGGCAUUACCAAGAGCUCCAAACCCUCCCAGGUGUUUUACAACAAACGAGGCUGCGAUUUCCUUGCAGCUACUGAGUGACUUCUUGAAAUUCAGCAGCAUGAUGUGCUUGCAUCCACCCAACAGCCUCCAAACACUCUUCAUGGCUGUCAGUGAUCCAGGCACCAAGAGAAAACAUCACCUCAAUACUCAGAUUCUUCUAAUUCCAAAGCACCAGAAGUCAGGAGGACUGGGAUCAUGACCCUCAACAGGUUCUUUUCCCAGCGACCAACUUUCCCAAGCAGAGAAACGAGCAGUUACGUUCUCCAGGAAGAAAAGGCUCCUACAGAUAAAUUCUGUACAAAAACCUUGACUCACUGUUAUAACACGAGCUCAGCGUGGGGAUCAACCACCCCUUCCUUCACCCAUCACACCUGACACCACCAGCAGAGCCACGUUCUUGUUUGUCUCGUUCAGGGAGUAAAGAAGAGAGAUUAGUUUCAAAAUAGAAAACUGAAAACAAUUCAACAGGUGCCAAGGACACCUGAAUGAACACAGGGCUGCCCCAUACUCCCAAAGAGCAUCAGAGGUCUGGGGUUUAUUUCCUAUUAGCACUCUAACUCUAAAACUAAGGGAUCAGAGCUUGGGACAAGUGUAAAAGGGGAAGAAGUUGCGUUUUCAUUUUUCAUGAUGCUCUAUCACCCAGAAAUAGGGCUUGUUUUGCAUCAACUGCAGUCUCAAUUCUGACUUCUCCGUGGCACACUGGCUUCCAAUUUACAGUAGAAACAACCCUUCUACUUUGCAUAGCAAGAAUGGUCCCGCUCACUGAAAUUAAACCCACAGGGAAUAGCAACAACUGUAUUUACUAUUUAGCUUUAGCUUUUCGGAAACAAAUAUUUUAAGUAGCUAAAAACUGAGUGUUUUCAGUUUCACAUUGAAAACAUCCCCAUUCACACCAGUCCCCAUCUGAACCCCAGUGCCCCUGAGAGAAGGCUGCCUUGGUGUGACUUUUGGAAAAUUACGUUGAGACAAAAGCAAACAGCAUCAAAUGUUUUCACACGUGGCCAACCAUGAGAUUUACAUUUGGCCAAACAGAAACCUAAAGCACUUAGCAAAUGGGUCAUUUGAGUACAAAGCUGAAAUUCCUCUGGAGACUUAACGAGACUUUUCUACCUGGUAAAGCUAAAAUUUAAAAUAAUACUAAAAAAAAAAAAAAUUCUGUUAUACUCAGAACUACAUGCCUUGGCAGCCAGGGAACAAACAACAUGUCACUUCCAAAAGCUUUGCAGUGAUUCCUUAUGCCAGAUUCCAGGAAUGCUUUGUCACAACGAAGUUUAUUCCAUUCCUUGGAAAUAUUAAAUGCAUUCCUACUUAUAAUGAAACACCUUAUAAACGCCACGUGACAGAAACAUGGAGUUUGACAAAGCAUUUCCUUCCAGCAUCAUAACAUUUAGGGCCCUGGCAUGAUUUUUACUAUCAAAUAAGUAACCAAGGGAGGUUUGCUGGGAGCAGACCCGGAUGGGAGCAGCAUCAGCCUCGAGUGCUUCCGCCCACAGACUCCCACCUAAGGCUGUCAGGCAGCUCCGAGCACUCCGAGUUUCCAAGAUGUCAUCUGGAACAUCAAAUGCAGUUCUAAGCACGACCCUGUACAACAGCAGCAAUUCCUGCUGCUCACUAGCAAGUCAUCCCUGUUUCGGACAACAUUUUUGGAAUGUGCUGCCCACAGUACAUUGAAUUUCCUAAGUUAUGCCUGGAAAUCAGGAUGUUUUGUCCCAGUAAGUGGACGCUGUUUAAUAAGACCCCUUCUGCAACAAUGGGUUUGCACUCGCUGUGACAGAGCUCCAUUUAACCAGGGCUGGGGAAUUCUGGGGGAUAUCUGCACUGCCUCAACUCUGCUGGCCUCUGGAAAAAGCCAUUCCUCAACAAACAUGGCUUUGUAACUUUGGAGAGGCCUGGGUUUGGGCUUAUUUUAAUGGCACAGCUUUUACCCAGUAAGGACCUGACCUUCACCAUGUAAAUGAGAAACCUGUAUUUGCUGCAAAUGCUCUGAUGUUCCACAUCCCCUGUUCUGCUCCAAGAAACCUUAUUUAAAGCCUUUAGUAAAAAGAAAAGGUAUUUUGGGGCUAGACUAACUUUUGUUGGAUCCAGUGAUGUCACCUGCUUCCAGAUAAAGCCCAGGUUUGAAGCUCACCAUGCCCAUGAUCACAUGGCAGGUCAGGCACAACAGCCAGUCACAUCCAGGAUCCUGAUCCCUGCUGUGAGAUGGGGAAAGGAAACAAGAGUCCCAACUCCCUUUGUGCCACCUCAGAGCUUCGCCCCAGUAUUUUCAAUAUCUCACCAUUACAAAGUCCAAAAAGUAUGACUAUGGUGACACCACGCUGAUGUCACCAGAAUGCUCCAGAAGAAGGUGAGCAAAAAGGGGAAAUGAAUCCAACCUGGAAAUACUGGAAUUGCACAAGCUUGCAACAAGGCAAGGAGAACACUGGGCCAAGCCAGGCUACAGAGGCACAUCAUGUGCUCUACUCAGAGCAGAAAUAAAUAUGCCAUUCUAAACAUUUUUUGAGUUUAUUUUCAGAAAAAUCUAGAGCAAAGAUGGAAAUAGCAAUCUGAUUAAAUUUAAAAAAAAAAAAAAGAAGUUAAGAGUGGCAGCAAAUUAUUUGGACAAAAGUUCAGAGAGGAAGAAUAUGGGCAAGACGUUCAACUGUGGGAAAAUGCCUUUGGGAGGAGGAAGCCUUUUGUUCCACACCACCUCUGUGUCUAGGUUUUUACAGUCCUUUGCUAAGUUAUUCUGCCAGCGGCUGGAAAACCACCAGAAAUCCGCCUGUUUACUCAGACAACUAAAAUCCCAAAUACCCUGGCAAAUGGCUCUCUGCUCUGCCUCAUCAGCCACAGGAUGGAAGGGAUACUCUGAGCUGAGGUUUAAAAGUCUCAGUCAAGUGACAGCACAAGGUUAAGGGGUUAUUCAUACCCCUAUUUUUGCAUUUGGAGAGCGAGGGGAAUUCUUGUUGUUCGACACAUGGAGUCAAAUCAGAUUAGGAGCAUAAGUGCCAAAUACUGUGCAAAAAUCACCAUUAAACACCUGAAACCUUGCUUAUGCUCAGACAAGAAAGAGCAAGCGUAAAAUAUUCUGAAUAUUUGAGACAUUCUGAGACUUGCCCGGUUCACUGCAAGUUCAGUGGUCUUAGGAGGCCAAGUGACAGAGCAGUUUGGUGGUGAGCCCACUCCACACCACAGUGAGAGUCACAGGGUCUGUGACCAGGGAGUUUGCCACAAGUUGGCUCCUACUUCUGCAAAGUCCUCAUCAGAUCAAAUCCCUGUCCUGAAAAAUUCAUGGUUUUCCUUAUACAGCUUGUAUUUGGAAAUGACUAAAUGGAGGGGGAAAUAAAUUUAAUUCAGUCCCUUCAACUACAGCACUGUCAGCUAACAAACUGCCCAAAUGGAGUGUUUUAAUACAGAGUUACACCUGCCAUGGCUCAGACACCCCCUUCCAGAUACUUCAUGACUGCCUGUUCCCUUCUCCCCUUGCUGCAGCUGCAAAACAAAAUCCCAUUUAUACCUUACUCCUGAUCACAGAAAAAUCACUGAUUAGAGAGCACAGGACCUCCAGCUGAAGUUUUCAGGCUCUGCAUUACAUCCUCCCUUGAACAAAUAAGUUCAAAGCACUCAAAAACGUAACCACAACCGUCACCCUCUGCUACCAAGAACCCAACACAGACACACAGGGAUCGAAGCCAUCCAGUACUUGACUGGAACAAGUGAAUCACAGCUCUGCAACCGAGGAUCCGCAGCAGGAUCCCAAGCCAAUGUGACUCCAGAAAAGGUUUACUGAACCAGAAAAGCAGCAGCAGCAAUCCUGGUUGGGCGCCAAACACAAGGAAAUAAACACAAGGGAGCCCUGGAAGAUUUCACCAGCAGCCACACAAGUGGGGAUGAGCAAAUCCUGAGGCACCACCUGAACUCUGGUCACUCAGCUCCAAAACAGCCCAGAAAUCCGAUGGCAGGAAGUUGGCAUUUAACAGCCAUGCACAGCAACCGAGUGUUUUCCUACUCUCUUCUGAUGCAUUCCAGGGCUUAAGUUGAUUUUGGGUCCCAAGUUUCCCCAUGACACUCUGAACAGACUGGCUUAGCCAAACCAGGAGGAACCACUGCAAACGCAGCAGGAGGAGCAGAGCAGCAGCCAGGAGGCUCCGUGGGGGCAGAUCUGCAGGGUCAGGCCUCUCAGGCCACUCCGGGGACAGGAACAAGGGAUCAUUACCUAAAUCAACUUCUCUCCACUAGUUUUGCAAUGCAGAGGUCAAGCACACACAUCAAACAGUUUAAGGGCAGUGUAAAAGGGGGAAACAACUCCCUCAGAUCAGAAAUCAGGACCUUGUCUAAAAAAUUAGUUCACAAAGAGCAGGCAGGUGAGUCCACCAGCUGGGUCUGGAAAAUGCACAAGCAGGAACACUCACAACUCCUCACAGGCAGCAACUUUUCCACCACUUUUCUUAUGCAAAGAUAAUAAGGAGUAUGGCAGAAUCUGUCCAAUACAAUCAGUAUGGGCCACAGUCUUAGUCAUUAAACACAGGCCCACCAUUUUAAUGGCUCUUUCAAAGAGUAAAAACCUGAAGUUCCCAACUGUUUUCAUGUCUGCUUGCCAACUGCUCCCCUCCCUAUACUAGGAUCAAUAACUGGGAGCAAAGAAACAACCCUGCUUAACCAUGAGAUCUUCUUUAACUGCAGGGUAAUCAGCUAAUCCGGGCAGACUCCUUUAUUCAGCUUUACAUGGGCAGCACUAUCAUUAAAGUUAUAAACUUUAAUUUGACUCAAGGAAUGCCAUUUACUAAUUUAGCACGCAAAUGCUUUUACAGUUGUUUGCAUCCAGCUCCACAUAAACUACAGGGGACUUACAGCACACGAAGCAACAUUUUGAAGCUGCUGUUACAGCCACUGUAACACUGUAACAGAGCACAGGACAGUGGGGGGAAAGCAUUCACUGAGGGAACGCUUUUUCGUGUUUAAAGGGAUUUACCAAUACACACAACCAGCAAAACAACUGCUUCCUGGGCACUGGAUCCCUCAAUAUUUAACAUCCACACAUUUUUCACAUUAUUCCUGUUGGCAUGUAGGAGAGUAGCACCUCCUAUUUACUCUGAAUAUUGAGUAAAUGGGAACAAAAGAAAACCCAUCACCUGCAAAAAAGUCAACGGCAUCAGGAACUUGAUGGUGAGCUGGAGCCAAACCUUGCCAUGAGCAUUUAGAAAGGAAUGCCAGAUUUCUUCAGUGCCUUGAAUCUUUUCCCCAAAAGCUCGGGAGCCAACAGAUAAGACUUAGAUACUUUGAUCUAAAGAGGGUAAAUGUUAUUUCGAACUCUAGUUCACUUUUAAAGAGACACGCUUAAAAACUGGAAGUAAAAAAAGUUAUGGUUGUGAAGGGAUUGCUCAUAUCCCUCCUGGUCUGUGCUGGAAAUAAACACAAGGUUCAACUCCUGUGUGUAGGAAGGGGGAAGGGAAACGGCAACAAAACCAGAGCGAAUGGCUCUCCUGGAAUUCCAGGACUUGCCAUCGACUCCGCCGCUUAUCGAAGGAGCUGGAGGGGCUAAAGCCCCCCGACAGCGUGAGGAUGGAGUGGGAGAAAGGCAAAAACACAGAUCACAGCCCCCCCGCUCGCAAUCACACAAAGAAAGAGGAGUCCUUUUAGUGCCAAGGGCCUCGUUCCCGACGCUUCCAUGGCAGGAAGCGAGAUCCUGGCCGGCCCCAGGGGCCUCUCGGGGGAACGGGGUGACGAGGAGCCUCCUCCGCCCCAGGAGGUGCCGGGGAAUUCCCCCUCAUCCAGGGGGGGAUUGGGGAACACCGCCUCCACCCUGGGGGGCACCGAGGAGCGCCCCCUCCACCCCCGGGGGGUGCCCAGGAACCCCCCUCGCACCUCCGGCGGUGCCCAGGAAGCACCUUCACCCCAGGGAGUGACGAGAGGCCCUCUCAGCACCCCGGGGGUGCAGAGGAGGCGGCUCCCCUCCAACUCCAGGGGGGACCGAGGAGCCCCCCUCUCACCCGGGGGUCCCUCGCAGUGUGUGUGAGUCUCGUCCCGCGGGCGGGCCGGGCCCGGUGCCCUCUCAGAGGCCGUUGGCCCGUCCCGCCGCCCCCCCACCCCUUCGGCGGCGUGUCCCCCCCCAGUCCCGCUGCCGGGGGCCGCACCUGGAUGACCUCGUUGACCUCGCGGAUGCACUCCACCAUGUGCUGCAGGAUCUGCUCGGCCGUCAGCACCUCGUAGCGAUAAUCCUCCUCCUGCUCGGGGCCGCCGCCGGGGCCCGGCCCGCCGCCCAGGCCGCCACCGCCGCCGCCGCCGCCGGGGCCCAGCCCGCCAGUCUCGCCGCCCAACAGCCCGUCGCGCUCCCCGCCGACGCGCAGCCCGGGCUCCACCAGCUCCACCUCGCCCAGGUCCAGGUUAUCGUCGGGCUCGUCCUCCUCCUCGUCCUCCUCGUCCUCCUCCGCGCCGCUGUCCUCACUACACUCCUCGUCCUCGUCGAACUCGUAGUUGUACCCCUCGUCUGAGUCCAUGGCGAGGCGCUGAGGGAGCGGCGGCGGCUCCCGCGGCCUCCCCGCGCCCGGCCCCGCCGCCGCCGCCGUUGGCCCCGGCCCGGCCCGGCCCCGCCGCGCCUCAACCGCCGCCAACAAAGGGCCGCGGCCGCCGCGCUCCGUCACCGCGCGCCCCGCGCGUCACCGCCGCCCGCCCGCGCCUGCGCGCCUGCCGCCAUCUCACCCCGCCCGCCGCCGCCGCCAUCUUGGGGGCGCGACACGCCCCCUCCGCGCCCCCCGCCCGCCUCAGCCCGCUGCCGCCAUGUUGAGUGUGGCGCGGCGCCAUGCUGGGUGCGGCGGGGAGGCACAGAGUCACAGCAUCGCAUCCUGAGGUGUCCUGUGGGGCCAAGUGUGGAAAAGGCUCCUGGGGCCACCAUAAAAUUGAGUGAUAUGAGGGGGAAGAACAUGCACAAGUGUCUUCAUCACCAGACCAGGGACUAACUUUUUUCCCUCCUGGCACUGACAAGUGCUCCAGACGGGUCAGGGAUGCAGGGCCAGUACUGUUCCCGGGUGGUCUCAUCCCUGCCAGAGCCUCUGACUUGGACAUGGAGCUGCUGACGAAGGGCAGGAUGACACCAGUGUGCUGCAGAGGCUGAGCCCUUUGCCUCAGCUUUCCCUGCUUCCAGCAUCAGCCGCGCUCAGCCUGGUACGUGGGAGGCUCGCCGGGCUCAUUGUCUGCAGCCAUUUGGGGAGUGCAUGGAACUCCGGUUGGCUUGGAAACAAGGCUGCAGCCCGGCCCAGAGCAGAGCCAGCUGCUACCAGCCCUCCACGGAUGUUCACUGUGGAUACCAGAGGCCAGCACAGCGCCAGGAGGGCUCCAGGGCCACCUUCUCCCGCCAGUGCUCACCCUCCACUUCCUCAAGCCCCAGGGAAUCAUUUCUUCCCGGGGUGAAGUGGGGCCGUUCAGAUGUGGUGACAUUAUUCACCUGAUCUGCCCGGAUGAAGAUGAGACUCAGCGGGGCUCUAUGUGGUGUAGGCGUGACAAAUUUCAUCAGCUAUUUGGGACAAGAGUCAUCACAGAGGACCAGAUGACAGAAUCCUACUUCCUGCUCCUGUCUUGAUACAAAUCCCUUGUGAAACAGGAAGAAAAUUAGAAGCCACAUCCCAAAGAAUGUUUAUUUCCUGCUGGAGCACAGGAAGCAUAAUGAUGGCUGCAGCAACAGGGAUUUGUGAUCAGGGUGAUGCAGGCAGGUUCUCUUGGGAGAUGAAGUGUCCAAUGUCCUGGGUAGAUGACUCCAGAAACCUCACCAGGUACCAGGCUGCAUCUUCAGACACACAAAGAGAUCCGAAUGUUUGCGUGGAUCUGUGGUCCCUGAGCUCUGCCUGGGUCAGGAGCACACAGGGACAUGUUGCCUCAUGCCACACUACCUAGUCAAUAAAGCCAGUUCCCUAAUUA